CGCCACUUACCGCAGCGUUGAGGCGGGAUGCAGCGUGCUCUGAGGCGACCCCGGGCAGGAGGCAAGAUGUGACCUCCUGCACCAAACCUUUGACCUCUAUUCAGGAGCAAUCUCACAACUGAUGGAAGCUGGGACGGAAAGUUGCUGAAAUGUGGUAAGCUACAAUUUCCUCUUUCAACCAUGAUUUCUAUCAGUCUACCACAAUCUACCAGGGUCUAACCACCACACAAUCAUUCGCCCAACAUCCCUCUACCAGUCUACCACAAUUCAACCAUCAGUCAUCAACCGAAAAACUCGACUUGUUCAAAACUUUUUCAACUCUGUAACCCCAAAAUGUCAACCCAAGACCUGACAUUCAACCACGAUUUCUACCACUCCACCACAAUCUACUGGGACCUAACCACCAUAUAUCUUUUCAGGGCAAUGGCUGACUGGAUGGUGCUGUCUGGUCACUCAGCUCAGCAAGGGACUGGAAGCUGGAACACUCUCUCUCUCUCUCUCAAAAAAAUUAUGACUCGUCUCAGCUGGUCUCAUCUGGUCUGCCCCAGCAUUUAGGCAGCAUCUUGAAGGCCUGACUGGUCUCCUCAGCUCAGUGGUCUCGUCUCUGUCUCCUGCCCUGCAAGAGUCUGGCAGAGUUUAGUGCCAAGAGUGUGUGUGUGUGUGUGUGUGUGUGUGUGUGUGUGUGUGUGUGUGUGUGUGUGUGUGUCUCUCUCUCUCUCUCUCUCUCUCUCUCUCUCUCUCUCUCUCUCUCUCUCUCUCUCUCUCUCUCUCAGGCCCCACAGGGUGUCCCCCCCACAGUGUGUUGGCAACCCCCACAGACACAUGCCCCCCCAGACACAUAAGGGAUCCCCCCCCUCUCUCUCUCUCCAAGAAGUGUCAGUUUGCUCAAUAAAUAUACAAGCAAU